rnacentral:rRNA from 1 species
GACGUAGGGCGCGAGCGUUGUCCGGAUUUAUUGGGCGUAAAGAGCUCGUAGGCGGCUUGUCGCGUCGUUCGUGAAAACUUGGGGCUCAACCCCAAGCUUGCGGUCGAUACGGGCAGGCUAGAGUUCGGUAGGGGAGACUGGAAUUCCUGGUGUAGCGGUGAAAUGCGCAGAUAUCAGGAGGAACACCGAUGGCGAAGGCAGGUCUCUGGGCCGAUACUGACGCUGAGGAGCGAAAGCGUGGGGAGCGAACAGG